rnacentral:rRNA from 1 species
UACGAAGGUGUCGAACGUUGUCCGGAAUUACUGGGCGUAAAGGGCGCGUAGGCGGCUAGGUAAGUCAGAUGUGAAAGCUCUGGGCUCAACCCAGGAAUUGCAUUUGAAACUGCUUAGCUCGAGUUCGGUAGAGGAGGGCGGAAUUCCUGGUGUAGCGGUGAAAUGCGUAGAUAUCAGGAGGAACACCUGUGGCGAAGGCGGCUCUCUGGUCCGAUACUGACGCUGAGGCGCGAAAGCUAGGGGAGCAAACAGG